CCGCCCCCUUUUUUCCCUAAUCCCUUGAGCCCUUUUCAUCAUCCUGAUGAAUCGCGUCCGCCCACAUUUUUUCCCUAAUCCCUUUAAUCCUAUUCAUCAUCCUGAUGAAUCGCGUCCUGCGAUGUCCUUCCUUCCCAUCGUCCUUGACGGGCGUGUCUGUCCGUCGACAC
rnacentral:sRNA from 1 species